UACGAGGGGGGCAAGCGUUGUUCGGAAUUAUUGGGCGUAAAGGGCGCGUAGGCGGUUUGACAAGUCUGAUGUGAAAUCUAUGGGCUCAACCCAUAGCCUGCAUUAGAAACUGUCGGGCUUGAGUAUGGGAGAGGUGAGUGGAAUUCCGGUGUAGCGGUGAAAUGCGUAGAUAUCGGAAGGAACACCUGUGGCGAAAGCGGCUCACUGGACCAUAACUGACGCUGAGGCGCGAAAGCUAGGGGAGCAAACAGG
rnacentral:rRNA from 1 species